rnacentral:ncRNA from 2 species
UGAAGAGUAAAAAUACGUUCGUUAAGUGUUGGCUGAACGGGGAGUUGUCAGUCAGACGAAAAGCGUGUGCUUUUAGCAUCGGCUUGCGGUUCGUAUUUUGCAUCCCGCUUCA